GUGCAAACGGCUUUUUCUCAAUGUUGAGAGCAGGAGCAGCACCCAUGCACGUCUGUUCAGUAUCUUGGUUGGCCACGCCCCUCGACCACAGUAUUUUUUAUAUCUUCUGUGGAUAUGUUUUCCCCAUUGGGGAUGGAGUUGCAGCACCAUGUUUCUUACAGGAUUUUCUCUGGAGUUUGAUGUAAUUUGCAUAUAACUGUAAAAGGGUGGAACUGUUGUGCUGCCAUGGCCUGUGACCAGGAAAAGGAAAUAAGUAUGAAUAUAUUUUCCCUUUUCCUGUUCAUAUCCAUGGCAGCACAUUGAUUGGAAUACCCAAGUAAUAAGUAAGGGAGAGAGAAAUAAAAACCAGACCUUAAUGAUGCAAUAUACUAAAUUAACAACGCAUACAAUAUUAGAAAACUAAAAACCGCAACCGUCAAGGCAGAUAACACACACCUUUACAAAAAUUAUCAGACUAAACAUCUUGAAUGUCCAAUGCUUAAUAAAUGUAUUAAUCGAGGCCCAAGUAGCAGCCUUGCAAAUAAUAGCUGAAGGGACUUAGGCUAUGGCAGCCCAAAAAAUGUCAAAGGGGCCCAGGGAUGCCAUCAGAAAUUUUUGGGCCCCUGACACAGCUCAAGGGCCUGCCCCCGAGUCCAACCACCGGGCCUAUCCUGAGUCUGCCCACAAGAAUAAAGUAUGUGUGUCUACUGAAUGUGGUAUGUGUUUAGUGGAUGUAGAAUGUGUGUAGGGGAUACGGUAUGUGUUUCAUGGAUGCAGUCUGUAUAGUGGAUGUACUGUGUGUGUAUAGGGACUGCAGAGUAGGUAUAAUGAGCGUUUGUAUCAGGAUAUAUAGUGACUUUAGUGAAUACAAAGGGUGUGUAGUGAAUGUAGUGUUUGUUUUUGACUUCAGAGUAUGUGUUUGUGUAUAGGGACUGCAGAGUGUGUUUGUGUAGUGAAUGCAAAGUGUGCACAGUCACUAUACACACACUACACACACUCUGUAGAGAAUGUAGAUUGUGACUGCUGAGUGUGUUUAUGUAGCGAAUGCAAAGUGUGUGUAUAGCGACUGCAGUGUGUGUUGGUGUAGUGGAUGUAGUGACUGCAGUGUGUGUAGGUAUGUACUGUGUGUUUGUGUAGUGACUGUAUAGGGACUGCAGAGUGUGUUUGCAGUGACUACACACUACACAGAGUGUGUGUGUGUAAAAUAGAGCUACAUGCGAAUAAUGUUUUGUG